rnacentral:lncRNA from 1 species
CCACAGUGAACAUGAUGGCUUUAAAAUCAAGUAAAAUAUGACUGCCCCAGUUAUGAGCAACAUCUUCAACAAUCAAGCUGAAUCCUUCAAAAAUCGUCACCUGUUUCCAAAACACUGGAGCCAAUGCAAGAGGUCAGAUACCUGUGCAGGAGUGUCACUCCAAGUCUGAACAUGAAUGCCAUGGAUUCCAGGAUCAUUCCAGUGCCUGCCCUGAUGACUUUGCUCACACCUGGAUCUGCAAAGGGCCAUAGACCUGUGGCACCUCCAUUCCCAAUGGAAAAAGGAAGGUGACUGAGAUGUUGGUGAACUGGGCCUUUGGAGGUGAGGAAUUUGCUUCUGUAAGUUUCUUCUUCCCACUUUGCAACUCCAGGUCUUACUUACACCAGCGUAGUAGCCAGUCAGUUUAUUAUGAGGCUUAGAGGCUAUGUAUGACUAUUUCUCCACCUACGUCUUUCAGCAAUGGAAAGCUGCUCUAAUUUUCUUGUGUCGCCAACAGCCCUAGUGGGCUCUCAAAGAAGCUGGAGACUGCCAAGUGUAGGAAUGGUUUUGCACUUUUUCUUCUUCUUUCAGAUUAUGCUUCUUGAUUGCCAAAGCAGACUCCCUAGAAAGUGUUCUGCAGUUGUAUAAGCUGAUCUAAAUAAUCAGGUCACAGUUUCUUGUUGCUAUUUACCAGCAAUGCUGGGGAAGAAAAGCUUGAUGUUUGGCUAUAUGUGAAUGAUCAGUGGAGUUUUGCAGGUACAAACAAAAAAAGAAGUUAGGAUCCAUCUCAGCUUCAGGUCUGUACUUUUAGUGGCAAAUAUUUGGUAUGCCUUGUCCACUAAAGAAUCUAGAUCCUGGUCUCCACAAAGGCUUUUUCCUCUCCCUCCAUUACGACAGUACUGAGUAGCAGUGUCUCUAAGGGGCAAUGCCUGUAAUGCUUAACAGUUCUAUUGUACUUGUAUCACACAGUACAACAGAACACCCCAGAUUUAGCUACCUCUAUUUUACUUAUCCUAGGGCUUUACUUCCAAACAGAACUUCACUAUUUUAUUAUUGUUUUCUUGCUAACAAGCAACUUCUGUUGUUAACAUAGGAGACACAGGAGCCAUAGGAGAAACAUGCACAAAAAUAAUUUUCAUUCUCCCUCCUCCUAAAAAAUCUUUGAUAAAUGUAACAUUUCAUAAAAUACGAAUUCAUAACACAUUGCUUUCUCAUCAAGUAAAAGGUAUACAUGUAUAUCAGCAUCUGAAAAUCUGAAUAAAGAUCAGUAAAUAAGUAGAUGACA